rnacentral:tRNA from 6 species
GCCGUCUUAGCUCAGCAGGUAGAGCACCACCAUGGUAAGGUGGGGGUCGCCAGUUCGAAUCUGGCAGACGGCU